CAGAUCUGGCCAUGGGACCUCCUCACAGGGUCACCCUGAGGAUGGCAUGAGCAAGCACAGGAUAAAGGCUGAGGACCACGUUUGGUACCAUCCAAAAAUAGCAGUUCUUGAUCCUAUUUUAAGAAAAGACCUCAUUUCAGUGCUGGGGAUUCAAUCCAGGACCUUAGGCAUGCGAAGCAAGUCCCUACCACUGAGCUGCUCCACAUCCCCCAAAUAAAGUCACACCUAUUUCUAA